CCUUUCCUGCCUGAAUUAUCAUCAUCCACCACUCAAUUAGGAAAAAUAAUGAUAGUUCGUGAAAAAAAAGUAAUAAUUGAUGUGUGUUUUUGAGGACUUACCCUCAUGGUGAUUUUGGGUUUCUGAGAACGACUAGCACCCCAAAGAAUAAGCGAAAAGAACGAAAACAGAACAAAAAACCCAACAACAAACGCAAGAAAAUAACAUCUCCUAGGAAUAGAUUUACUCCUCUCUUCAUCAUCAAGCAACCCUUCU